AUUCUACAGUCAAGAAAAAA
rnacentral:sRNA from 1 species